CCCUGGCGGCCGGCGUGAGGCGGGCGCGGGCAGGGCCCGGCGCUGCGGGGCCAUGGCGGCCGCGGGCUCCGCUCCGGAGGCGCGUUCCGACGGGCAGGAGCCCCUGCUGGGGUCCGCUGGGGCCGCGGCGGAUGAGGACGAGGAGGAGGAGAGCAGGGAUGUUGUGGAAACACAGGAGCAUUAUAAGAGCAGGUGGCGAUCCAUCUGGAUCAUGUACCUGACAAUGUUUCUCAGUAGUGUAGGUUUCUCAAUUGUAAUUAUGUCUGUGUGGCCGUAUCUCCAAAAGAUUGAUCCAACAGCGGAUGCAAGUUUCUUGGGCUGGAUUAUAGCUUCAUACAGCAUUGGCCAAAUGGUUGCCUCACCCCUCUUUGGCUUGUGGUCCAACUACAGGCCCAGGAGAGAACCUCUGGUCAUUUCCACUGCUAUUUCAGUAGCUGCUAAUUGUCUCUAUGCCUACGUCCACGUGCCCCAUUCCCACAACAAGUACUACAUGCUGACUGCCCGUGCUCUCGUGGGGUUUGGAGCAGGAAAUGUGGCUGUAGUUCGAUCGUAUAUUGCGGGUGCCACUUCUCUAACAGAAAGAACGAGUGCCAUGGCCAAUACCAGUGCCUGCCAAGCAGUUGGCUUCAUACUGGGGCCAGUUUUUCAGACAUGUUUUACACUUAUUGGAGAAGAAGGAGUAACGUGGAAAUUCCUUUGUCUUCAGCUGAACAUGUAUACAACACCAGUUUUAUUUGGAGCUCUUUUAGGAGUUAUUAAUAUUAUUCUCAUCUUUGCCAUAUUCAGGGAGCAUCGAGUGGAUGACAUGGGACGGCAGUACAAAAGUAUCAAUUCUGAUGGAGAAGGAAGUGAUGUUCUGGAUCAGAACGCAGAAGGAAGCAUUGACCACGUUGCUGUGGUAGCACUCAACAUUCUCUUCUUUGUCAUCUUGUUUGUGUUUGCUGUCUUUGAAACUAUAGCUACUCCACUGACAAUGGAUAUGUAUUCCUGGACCAGAAAAGAAGCUGUUUUUUAUAAUGGGAUAAUCCUUAGCGUAAUUGGCAUUGAAUCAGUUAUUGUUUUUAUGGUGGUUAAAACACUAUCAAAAAAGACUGGUGAGCGUGCCAUACUCCAUGCAGGCUUACUGAUUGUCUUGGUUGGAUUCUUUAUCUUACUGCCUUGGGGAAAGAAACUACCAAAUAUCCAGUGGCAAGAAAUAAAGAACAACUCCAUUCCCAGAACAGCCCCCAGUGAAAUGUUAGCACCUUUCUGGAGCUUGCCAGAACUGCAGCUGCCAUCCAACCACACAGCAGAACCCGUGGGCUGCCCUGUCACACAGUCCUGGUGCCUGAACACUCCCAUGAUCUACCUGGCCCAGUACAUCAGCUCUGACGUGCUUAUAGGGUUGGGCUAUCCUGUUUGUAAUGUCAUGUCCUACACUUUAUACUCAAAAGUCCUAGGACCAAAGCCUCAGGGUGUCUACAUGGGAUGGUUGACGGCCUCUGGAAGUGGAGCACGGAUCCUUGGGCCUGUUUUUGUGAGCCAAAUCUACACUCACCUGGGGCCACGCUGGGCAUUCAGCUUGAUCUGUGGAGUGGUUGUAGUCUCUCUCUUACUUUUGGAGAUAGUAUACAAAAGACUAAUUGCAUUUUCUGUCAGAUAUGGGAGGAUGCAGGAAGAGAACUGUUAAAUACAUAUUUUAAAAAAACCCCAAACAGUAAAACCAAGCAGAAGUAAUACUUAGUUUAUUACUGCUUUUGAAUGAGGAGUACUCAACCACUGACCUUGUUGGCUGUGUGCUAACAACUGUACAACUAUACUUAUAGAUUGACAGAACACUUAACGUGGUCAUAUCCCAAUACCUGGUUACCGCUGCUGCAGUUGGCUUUUGUCUUCUACUUUUCUAGCAGCAGAGGAAGGAAUGUGAUGGGUUAGAGUGAUACAAGGCACAUUUGAAGUGUGUACAGUUUAUGUGAUGUACAUGUGCACUGAGUGCAGCUGUGAAGGUCACAGGUUAUGUGUAUCCUUUUCCAGAAAGAAGUAAAAGAAAUAUUAUCUUGAUUCUGUGAAUCAGGAUUAGUAACUCUUUUGUACCUAGAUUAGUUGAGCUGCAUGCACUUUGUAUGGAGACACCACUACUUGAGCAAACCUCCUGAUGUUGGGUGUGUUGGCUUGUAAGCACUGGUUGAUACAGAUCAUCUGGUUCUGGAACCUGGUACAUCUCCUCUAGGAUUCCAAAUGACAAGUGAGAGAGGCAGAGAGGAAGGUAGGUGCCCUUCAUACAGGUAGUUGGUGUGGGAUUUGGGUCUUUCAGUUGAACAAGAGCCAUUGAAAAUCAAAGGAUAACCUGCAGCAUUGAAAUAUGCACUGCUUUUCUUAACUACAAGGAAAAAAGUCUUAAGCACGAUAGUUUACACUUGUGUGCUUGGUGAAAAUGAAUGCACUGUGCUGAGCAGUGGUGAUUAAUUAAGUGAAAGGAGAAAACUGGCUCCUGGGUGUUCACUGUUAUCUGCAGACUUCUAUUUUUUUCUGAUAUUAGGGUACAAGAAACAGGAAUUGAUACUGUUUUAGUCAUUCAGAUUUUAUUUUUAAAAGUGAGACUCUAAUUUUCCUUCAUAAUGGGGUCUAAGCUCAUCUGUACAGGUUUGUUCAGCUGUUUUAAUGCUACUGGGAAAAAAACCUCUGGAGUAACUCCAGUAUGAAUUGUGGCUGCUGUCUCUACCAUUUUAAUUUAAUAAAUGUAAUUCCUAUGUACUCAAUUGUUCAAACACUAAGAUACUACUGAAUUAAAAGAUGUUUUUUUU